AGGGGUGUGGCUAAAUCGGUAGAGUGCUUGCCUAGCACACAGGAAACCCUGGGUUCCAUUCUCAGCACUGCAU
rnacentral:tRNA from 1 species